rnacentral:rRNA from 1 species
GACGAACCGUGCGAACGUUGUUCGGAAUCACUGGGCUUAAAGGGCGCGUAGGUGGGCUCACAAGUCAGGGGUGAAAUCCCACGGCUCAACCGUGGAAGUGCCUUUGAUACUGUGGGUCUUGAGGGAGGUAGGGGCGUGCGGAACUUCCGGUGGAGCGGUGAAAUGCGUAGAUAUCGGAAGGAACACCGGUGGCGAAAGCGGCGCGCUGGACCUCUACUGACGCUGAGGCGCGAAAGCCAGGGGAGCAAACGGG